ensembl:lncRNA
GGGGAGACCGCUGAGGGCGGCGCAGUCCAGCUCUGGGCCAGGGGGUCCAAAGUGCUCACCCCCGGCACGGCCGGACGUUUGGGGGCCUUCUUUCAGCAGGGGACAGCCUGAUUGGGGACAAUGGCGCCUCUCUACCACAUCUUGGUUCUCUGUGUGGGUUUUCUCACCAUGGCCAACGCAGAAGCUCCACAGGAACACGACCCAUUCACCUAUGGUGAGGCAGGAAGAGGUGUCUAUCCGUGGGAGGUGGGAGGGCGCCUGGCCUGGGUUUGCCCAUCCUGUCCUCAUUACUCCUCUUCUCUUUCUCCAUCUCUCUUUCUGACUCAGUGUUUCUCUCUCUCUCUCUCUCUCUCUCUCUCUCUCUCUCUCUCUCUCGUCUCUCAGAUCGCUGACUCCUUGUUUUGA